GAUGAACGCUCGCGGCAGGCCUAACACAUGCAAGUCGAGGGAGGAGCUUUCGGGCUUCGACCGGCGUACGGGUGCGUAACGCGUAUACAAUCUGCCUUUCACAUAGGGAUAGCCCGAAGAAAUUUGGAUUAAUACCUAAUGGUAUAUAGAGGUGGCAUCACCUUUAUAUUAAAGCUGAGGCGGUGAAAGAUGAGUAUGCGUUCUAUUAGCUAGUUGGAGAGGUAACGGCUCCCCAAGGCGACGAUAGAUAGGGGUUCUGAGAGGGAUAUCCCCCACACUGGUACUGAGAUACGGACCAGACUCCUACGGGAGGCAGCAGUGAGGAAUAUUGGACAAUGGUCGGAAGACUGAUCCAGCCAUGCCGCGUGCAGGGAGACGGCCUUAUGGGUUGUAAACUGCUUUUGCAGGGGAAGAAUAAGGACUACGCGUAGUUUGAUGACGGUACUCUGCGAAUAAGCAUCGGCUAACUCCGUG
rnacentral:rRNA from 1 species